UACGUAGGGUCCGAGCGUUGUCCGGAAUUAUUGGGCGUAAAGGGCUCGUAGGCGGUUCGUCACGUCGGGAGUGAAAACUCGGGGCUUAACCCCGAGCCUGCCUCCGAUACGGGCAGACUAGAGGUAGGCAGGGGAGAGCGGAACUCCUGGUGUAGCGGUGGAAUGCGCAGAUAUCAGGAAGAACACCGGUGGCGAAGGCGGCUCUCUGGGCCUUACCUGACGCUGAGGAGCGAAAGCGUGGGUAGCGAACAGG
rnacentral:rRNA from 1 species